rnacentral:rRNA from 1 species
AGAGUUUGAUCCUGGCUCAGGAUGAACGCUGGCGGCGUGCUUAACACAUGCAAGUCGAACGAUGAUCCGGUGCUUGCGCCGGGGAUUAGUGGCGAACGGGUGAGUAACACGUGAGUAACCUGCCCUUGACUCUGGGAUAAGCCUGGGAAACUGGGUCUAAUACCGGAUAUGACUCCUCAUCGCAUGGUGGGGGGUGGAAAGCUUUUUGUGGUUUUGGAUGGACUCGCGGCCUAUCAGCUUGUUGGUGGGGUAAUGGCCUACCAAGGCGACGACGGGUAGCCGGCCUGAGAGGGUGACCGGCCACACUGGGACUGAGACACGGCCCAGACUCCUACGGGAGGCAGCAGUGGGGAAUAUUGCACAAUGGGCGAAAGCCUGAUGCAGCGACGCCGCGUGAGGGAUGACGGCCUUCGGGUUGUAAACCUCUUUCAGUAGGGAAGAAGCCCUCUUUGGGGGUGACGGUACUUGCAGAAGAAGCGCCGGCUAACUACGUGCCAGCAGCCGCGGUAAUACGUAGGGCGCAAGCGUUAUCCGGAAUUAUUGGGCGUAAAGAGCUCGUAGGCGGUUUGUCGCGUCUGCUGUGAAAGACCGGGGCUCAACUCCGGUUCUGCAGUGGGUACGGGCAGACUAGAGUGCAGUAGGGGAGACUGGAAUUCCUGGUGU